GUCUACAGCCAUACCACCCUGAACAAGCCCAUUGUUUGAUCUCAGAAGCUAAGCACGGUAGGACCUGGUUAGUACUUGGAUGGGAGACCACCUAAGAAGACCAGGUGCUGUAAGCA
rnacentral:rRNA from 1 species